rnacentral:piRNA from 1 species
UCAGCAAGCCGUUGGUUGUCCUCUAGAU